CUCUUAUUUCCUUCUCUCUCUCGACUGCAGCUGCAGCACACCUCCGGCUCCCCUCAGUCCGAAUGCCAGUUCCUGUUGACGCAGUGCCAGCACCAUGCCAGAUCAUCAAGGAGGACGCUGACAAGUGCCUUCAAGAAAAGAAAGACGACUGUAAGGAUCUAAUGGAUGCCUUUCAGGCCUGCAUAAAAACGCUGUCUGAGGGAUCCUAGUAAAUGAAGAAACAUGGAUUU